GCCUGCCGCGUGUGUGAAGAAGGUCUUCGGAUUGUAAAGCACUUUAAGUUGGGAAGAANAGGCAGUAAAUUAAUACUUUGCUGUUUUGACGUUACCGACAGAAUAAGCACCGGCUAACUCUGUGCCAGCAGCCGCGGUAAUACANAGGGUGCAAGCGUUAAUCGGAAUUACUGGGCGUAAAGCGCGCGNAGGUGGUUCGUUAAGUUGGAUGUGAAAUCCCCGGGCUCAACCUGGGAACUGCAUUCAAAACUGACNAGCUAGAGUNNGGUAGAGGGUGGUGGAAUUUCCUGUGUAGCGGUGAAAUGCGUAGAUAUACGAAGGAACACCAGUGGCGAAGGCGACCACCUGGACUGAUACUGACACUGAUGNGCGAAAGCGUGGGGAGCAAACAGGAUUAGAUACCCUGGUAGUCCACGCCGUAAACGAUGUCAACUAGCUGUUGGGAGC
rnacentral:rRNA from 1 species